UACGUAGGUGGCAAGCGUUGUCCGGAAUUAUUGGGCGUAAAGCGCGCGCAGGCGGUCCUUUAAGUCUGAUGUGAAAGCCCACGGCUCAACCGUGGAGGGUCAUUGGAAACUGGGGGACUUGAGUGCAGGAGAGAAGAGUGGAAUUCCACGUGUAGCGGUGAAAUGCGCAGAUAUCAGGAGGAACACCGGUGGCGAAGGCGCCACUCUGGGCCGAAACUGACGCUGAGGAGCGAAAGCGUGGGUAGCAAACAGG
rnacentral:rRNA from 1 species